UCCUCCAGCUGCUGUGCUGAAAAUAGACUAGGGCAUCAGGGUGAAAAUCAGAGGGACAAUUAUAUGGCUAGUGCCGAGUCCAGGCUGGAGGGGCCGGUGGCUUGGGCUGUGGCAGUUACACUGGAGGUGGUGAGAAGUGGUCAGUCGCCAGUUAUCUCUGAAGGUAGAGCCCAUGGGAUUUGCUGGUGGACUGGAUGUGGUACGUGAGAGAAGAGGAGAGUCGGAGAUGAUCCCGAGGAUUUUGUCCUGAGCAACUUCAAGGGUAGAGUUGACAUUUCCUGAGACAGUGAAAGUGCUGGAGGAGCUGUUUAGAGGGAGAGCUGGAAUGGGAAGAGUUCAGUUCAGGAUAUUAUUAAGUUUGAGAUUCUCAUGACGAUCUCAGUAAAGAACUCGAGGCGGGCAUUUCGGUGCUGGUCUGCCAUUCCAGGGAGGCGUCCAGACUAAGAAUAUAAAAGUGGGCGGAGAUGGUGUUGAAAAAUCCCAGACCAGACACAUGAACUGAGCGUGUAUGAGGUUAGAAGAAAAGUCCCAGCACAGAGCUGUAGGGCACGCCAAGGUCUAGAAAAGGAGGCAGGAUCCAGGCGGGAGAUGAAGAUGUAACCAGUGAGAUGGAAGGAAAACCAGAAUCAACGGUUAUUCUGGAAACCAAGCCAGGAGGCGCUCGAGAAAGAGGGAACCAUCAACCACGUCAAGUGCUGUGGGUAAGUCAGACCAGAUGAGGCGUGACUGUUGUCCACUGGGAAGGUGCCCGAGGCCCUAACUGGAGCUGUUCAGAGGAGCGAUGCCCCAUCAGGGCAUGUCAGGAACAACGGUGUUUAUAUUUAAUUCCAUGAGGGAUAUCGUGUUAUAUUUCUGUUUUACAAAUCAGAGAACUGAGGCGCAAGAGAGGGUUGAACACAGCUGGAUUGGAAGUCAGACGGUCUACUAGCUCCAGAGGGCAUGCCCUUCAAAGCCUGGUGUGCUUGGAACCUGAAGGCUCUCAAAUCACCAGGGGCAGUGGAGAGCCGGGAGAAGCCUGCUGGCAUCUUAGGACAGCAAUCACUAGAGGAUUCUCCACCUUGCUUCUUUGGAGCCAGGGGAAAGCAGGAGCAGCCAGCAUGCAGGCGACCAUUUACCCUUUCCAGGCCUGGGAGAGAGAAAAAGCAGCUGACCCAAGGCCCUGGGCCCUCAGCUCUCAUGAGCUGACAUCCGAGAAUCAGCUGUGUGCAGUGGAGAACACCGCUGACUUGGAAUCUGAAAGCCAGGCAGGAGUGUGAAUAUUUGAUUUCAAUCCGGGAAAAUUCCAGAGGACUAAAUUCAGAGGAUUUAUGAACAC